rnacentral:rRNA from 1 species
AGUGAACGCUGGCGGCGUGCCUAAUCCAUGCAAGUCGAAGGAAGUGGCGCACGGGUGAGUAAUAUAUAGCUAAUCUGCCCCUUGCUGGAGGACAACAGUUAGAAAUGACUGCUAAUACUCCAUAGCAAGGGAUGAGACUAUAUCGUAUCAGCUAGUCGGUGGGGUAACGGCCAACCGAGAGUAUGACGCGUAACUGGGCUGAGAGGAUGAUCAGUCACAUUGGAAGUGAGACACAGCGCAAAAUCCUACAGAAGGACACACUAGGGAAUAUUACGCAAUGGGGGAAACCCUGACGUAGCAAGGCGACGAGGAGGAUGACAAUGUUAGGAGCGUGAGCUGCUUUUGUUAGGGAAGCGGUACCUAACGAAUAAGCACCGGCUAACUCCGUGCCAGCAGCAGCGGUAAUUC